GGCACUCUGCCCGAGUGGUUAAGGGGUAAGUCUCGAAUAUAUCAACAUUCGAUCGUCCCUUGUGACGAGUUAACUUAUAGGCUCUGCCUGCGUCGGUUCAAAUCCGACGGGUGUCG
rnacentral:tRNA from 1 species